rnacentral:rRNA from 1 species
GAUAAUGGCUCAGGACGAACGCUGGCGGCGUGCUUAACACAUGCAAGUCGAACGAGAAUCUGCGGAAAGAGGAUUCGUCCAAUUGAAGCAGAGGACAGUGGCGGACGGGUGAGUAACGCGUGAGGAACCUGCCUUUCAGAGGGGGACAACAGUUGGAAACGACUGCUAAUACCGCAUGACACAUUGAGGUCGCAUGGCCUUAAUGUCAAAGAUUUAUCGCUGAAAGAUGG